rnacentral:rRNA from 1 species
AUUAGUCAAUGCUCGAAAGAGUGAACUAGCUAACUGAAAUCAGUCUCUAUGUAACGUUUUGAUAGAAGAUUGAUAACGUAAGGGAAAAAAAAUGAUGGUACCUUACUAUUAGUGUUGUCCAAAUCCUCGUGCCAGAAGACUCGGUAAGGCGAGAAACGCAAACGUUAGUCGUCCUAAUCAGGCGUAAAGGGUGUGUAGGCGGUUUUAUACAAGAAUUCGAAUUUUUAUUUAUUACUAGUAUUAAUUUCGAAUCAUAUAACGACUAGAAUCAAGAAUAGGUUAAACCAUAAUAUGCUUAAAGUAAGUGUAGAAGCUUUAGAUAUUAAGUAGAAUCCUAAUGGCGCAGGCUUUUUUCCAAUAAUGAUUGACGCUGAGAAACGAAGGGGAGGAAAGAAACGAAGAUUAGAGACCUUCUUAUCCCUCUCUGUCAACGAUGAAUGGUAGUUACUAGUUUUUAAUAACUAGAGACGAUGUUAACACGAAAACCAUUCCGCCUUGUGAGUAUGAUUGCAAAGUUGAAAACAAAAAAAUUAGUCGGUUUCGGAGCAAACGAAGUGAAGCAUGUUAUUUAAU